rnacentral:lncRNA from 10 species
GCAAAGUAAUUCAAAGUAAAAUAUGAAAAGUGCUAUAAUUUAGUAAGAGAUGGAAAGAAAUUUAGAAUAAUUUUGUUCAAACUCAUAAUUUUAUGAUUGAAGAAACAAAAAUCCAGAGUGUUUAGGAGUUUGUUCAAAGUUCAAAACCUGGAAUCUCUAAGGUUGGAUAUCAGAAGUCAGCUCUAAAUACAAGUUCAGUGCUAUUUUAACAAUCAAUAAAAUUUCUAAGAGCAAUAUAUUCCUGAGAUGGAACACAUCAGAAAAGACUAUAGGGAUUCUUUGAAUUUGGAAAGUUCUUACUAGGUAGAAAUUCCAAUAAAUACAACAGAUUAAAAUGGAACUCAUUCACUGAGGUGGAGUUGGAAACCCUAGGGUCUCAUUUGUUAGCUCCUCUCACCCACUCCUUCUGAGGGCCCUCUGAAUACCUUGUAAAAACUCCAAGAGUUUCUUAGGACACUGUCUUAAAACCACCAAUAAUAUUCCCAGUUGUGGUGAGUAGACUCAAAAGUGACCCCAAUGACCCUACAAAGUACCACAGACUGGGUGGCUGAAACAACAGACAUUUAUUUUCUCAUGAGUCUGGAGGUUAGAAGUUUGAGAUCAAGGUGUCAGCAGAGUUGGCUUCUGAGGCCUCUCUCCUUGGCUUGUUGAUGGCCAUCUUCUCUCUGUGUCUUCACAUGGUCUUCCUUCUGCACUUGUCUGUCUCUUAAUUUCUUCUUGUAAGAACACCCAUCAUUGCAUUAGGGCCUGCCCUAGUGACCCCAUUUUAACUUAAUUAUCUGUUUAAAGACUUUAUGUCUGAGUUUAAUUAAGCUAAUACAACAAAAUACCUUAGACUGGGUAAUUUAUAAACAUCAGAAACUUAUUGCUCAUAAUUCUAGACACUGGGAAGUCCAAAAUGAAGGCACCAGCAGAGUCAGUGUCUGGUGAUGGCUCACUCUGCUUCAAAGAUGAUGCCUUCUCAAGUGUCCUCACAAGGUGAAAGGGUGAGGCAUCUCUCUGGGGUCUCUUUUAUCAGGACAGCAAUCUCAUUCACAACAGCAGAGCCCUCAUGACCUAAUCAUCUCCCAAAGGUCCCACCCCCUAAUAUCAUCACCUUGGUGAGUAGGUUUCAAUAUAUGAAUGUUGUGGGUAUGCAAACAUUCAGAUGAUAGUACCUUAUCUCUAAAUACAGUUACAUUCUGGGGUACAGUGGGCUUUGACAUAUAAAUUUGUGGGUUGUGGGGAAGCGGGCAUUUUUCAGCUCCUAACACUCACCUUUCUAUAUUAUCCCUUUGUAUCAUACCCUCCCCUUGGGUGGGAAAUUUGACUUGAUUCUAAUCUAUAGAAUAUGACAAAAGUGAUAGGAGUCACUUUAUCACUUCAUGAUUAUGUCACAUGAUAAAAUAACCUGUCUUGUUCUAGAGAUUUUCUGUCUCUCUUAUAGACUUUGAAAAAGUGAAGUGGCCAUGUUAGGAGGCCCAGAUGGUAAGGAGCUGAGGGAGGCCUCCAGGAAAUGGCCAGCAAGAAGCCGGCUCCCUCAGCCUUGUAGCUACAAGAAAAUGAAUUCUGCCAGCAAUCUGAGUGAACUUGGAAGCUGAUUCUUCCUCUGUCAAGCCUCCAGAUGAGAAUCUCAGUCACAGCCAACACCUUGACUGCAGUCCUUAGCAGAGGACUCUGCCAAGCUGUGCCAGGACUCCUGACCUGCAGAAAUUGUGAGGAGACCCACAAAGUACUUAAGAUAAUUGUUUCAAUGAAGGUGCUACCAGCUUGGACUAAAAAGGACAGAGUACAUGUGAAAGGAGGCUGUCAAACUCCCAAAAUUCUACUGGCAGGAAAUACUGAUAAAACUACUCAGCUGCUACCUUUUAUGAAAAAGGAAGGGUGACUCAGAAAGCAGAACCAAGAACUAAGAAGGCGGAGCCUAGAGCCGCAUGGAAUUAUCCUUAUGUCUUGAAACCUCUUCCAGAAAUCAAACCUUUGCCUGGCUGGAUAUCACGGCUGCCAUGGAGCAGUGACUUCCUUUUAUCUUUCAUUUCCCCCCUUUUUGAACUGGACUGUCUAUAGAUGUUAUUUUUGGUCUGUCCCACGAAUUUAUAUUGAGUUUGUUGAAGGCAGAUAACUUGUGUCUUUAGUUUCACAGGAUCACAGAUGGAGAGGAAUCGUGCCUCAGGAGCUAGCUAUACUUAACAGAUUAUCGCCAGAAACCUCAUUUUUACCUAGACCUGAUUUAAAUGAUGAGAUUUUGAAUGUUGAGCUGGUUCUAUAAUGGGAUGAGACUCAGGAAAUUUGGGAGGGGGUGAAUUUAUUUUGCAUGUGAGAGAGACAUUAAUCGUUGGUGGCUGGAGAGUAGACUGCAGUAGACAGAAGCUAAAAUGGCCCUGAAGGUCUUCACUUUCAUGCCCCUGUAUAAUCCCUUCCCUUAGAGUGUGGGUAGGGCCUGUAAUUUGCUUCUAAUUAAUAGAAUAUAUACAAGGUUAUAGAACAUCACUCCCAAGAUAAUGUUACAUUAUAUAGGAACUGUCUUGCUGGAAAUCUCUCUAUGAUGCUGAUUUUGCAUAAACACGCUGCCGUGAGUCUUAGAGUCACAUGAAAAUGAAUUCUUUCAACAUCUUCAAUCAAGUUCUACGUGGGCCUGUCCUCAGGCAAGCCUCUAGAUUAGAAAUACCUGUUUGUUUGUUAAUCUCUUUUUGUGUCCUCUCACCUAUACAUGGACAUGUUGUCUUCAAGGUCAAGAGUUUGUAAGCUUCUGAAAUUAGAGGUUAUGGCAGUCAUCUCUACUGUCUCCUGACACUUCCUGGGGUAGGACUGGUACUCAGAUGCAUGAGUAAAUGAAAGUCAGGGUUAACUUCUUCAAAAACCCAAAUCUUUUUUCUCUACUAAGCAAGUUAGUUUAUUCUUUACACUGGCUCUUUUCAAGCUUAUAAGAUGGGUGCCCUAGAUCCAGAUAUACAAUAAAGAUAAAAUGAUGUAGAGCAGAAAAUGAGAAACUAUUUCUAUUUACUGUUUCUUUUUAUCAGUAAGGAAACAUUUCCCAGAGACCCCUAAGAUAAUCCUUUCAUAUAUCUCAUUGGCCAGUCCUGGGUCACAUGCCCACCAUAUAAUUAUUCCCUGGCAAGCAGAUUGGUAAAACAAUCGCAACCUGCUAAGACCAGCGAUGAUUUUUCUGAGUUGCUGGGGAAGAAGUGGACACACGUUAACAAAAUUUAGAUCUAACAACAUGAGGAAAAAGGGGAAUUUGCUGUUGCUUGGACAAACAAUAGUAUCUUCUUCAAGAACAUAGCACAAUUUUACAAAUAAUUGUAUUAUAAAAUCACUGAAAAAUCCAUAAAUAUUUAUUGAGCAACUCCUAUGGGUAGUAUUCUGGGAGCUAGAGGUGCAAUAGUGAAAAGUAGAGUUUCUUUUUCCUACUUCAAAUGAGUAAUGUCACAUGCUGAUAGUAUAAAAGAUAAAAUUCAUAAUGGUAAAGAGUGACUUGGUGAGGGUGUGGCAGGGCUGUUUUAUGUACCCUGGCUAUGUGUACAUCCAUGGAAGAAUUGCAGGUAACACAACUGACCUGAAUUCACACUUAACUAAAUAAAGAGAUACCCCAUUGUGCCCCUGUGGCCAAUCCCUUGUUACACUAGUUCUGAAUCUCUCUUUCUUUCCCCGUAUCUCUAGCCUUUUUUGGCCACUUUGCAUAAGGACUAAAACAUACCAAAGUUCUCUUUCAAAGUUUCAUUAUUUUGAAAAUGAAUAAAUAAUAGCAGUGCCACCUUAUAAAGUUCCACUGUCUGUGCACUGCACAACUCCAGAGACAGUCAGACACAGACUAUGCUGUAAGUAGUUGUAGCGUGGUGUCCCUGAACACUUGUCUCCAUCCACCUCAGAUCUCUGUUCUAGCUACAGCCUUAUCUCUCUGUUCUCCCCCUCACUGCAAAAACUCUUUAAAAUAAUUCUCUGCCCUGGUUGCCUUUUCAUUUUCUUCUUCUAUUUAUUUCUAAAGUCACUGCAAUCUGGCUCCCACUCUACCAGGCCUGCAGCAUCAACAAUGACAUCUUUUUACUCAACCAAAGCCUCUUUUUAGUUGACAUUUGUUUGACAUUUUGACAGCCUUGGAUUCUCUUUCUCGAAAUAUUCUCUUCCCUUUUCACAUUCUCCUAAGUUCAUUCAACCUCGCUGACUCUUCCCUCUCGGUCUUUAUGGGGAUUCUUACAAUUCUGUGCUGCUCUAUAUUCUGCAUUAGGCUACCUUCUCUUCUCACUCAUAAGAUGCAGACAGAUCAAUAGAGACUUGGACAACCAAAAUCCUGUUGGCCAUUUUGUAUUGGUAUAAAGUUAUGGGCAUCUUUUGGAUAUUUUGAUGCAUCUAAACCAUGUACAGGUAUAAUCCAAUUGUAGACUUUGAUGUUAUAUUUUUGAAAUGAGAUAGAUAUAGCUCUAUGUACCAACCAAGGGAUAUCUCACCUAAAACACUGUGAUAUGUUGUCUACCUGAUACAUAUUAGGUGUUCAAUAAGUAAUUGUUGAAUACAUUAAUGAAUAUAAUUUUUAAAGGAAGAGUAAAUAUAAAAUCAUGGUAACAAAUUCUAAAAGAUAGAUAUAUAAAAUAAAAUGUCUAUGAAGUGUGACUCAAUGAUUUAUAUUCCACUCAGAAAUAUUUAAUUAAGUUUGGAAGACUAAAAUUUUAUAUCCAAUAUGAUACAGAUUAUUUAUCUGGUUCAGACUUGAGGUCAAAGGCCAAAUACUUUUGGUAUUUUGUGGCAUGUCCAUAGUCACAAUAAUAAGAAGGAAAAUGUAAAAGCAAAUAAAGUAGGGGGGUUUGAUUAUCUGGGCAUAUGAAUAUAACAUUUUAAGUCAAUAUAAGAUACAAAUUACUUAAGGAUAAAUGUAGAUUAUUUGGUUUAUGAUUUAUGAGUGAGAAUGAUAAUUCAAAUUUACCAAAAUAUAAAAAAAAUGAAACUGAAGAAAUUACAUUCUUAUAGUAUUUUAGUAUAAAGAAGAAGAAAAAUGAUUCAGACUUCUAAACUUCCAGCCAAGCUUCCCAAGGGUCAGUUAGACAUUUUUAUUAAAAGGAAAAAAAAUACAAUAUAAUAAAUCCAUUAUUCUUUCAUUUUGCAAAAUGUCAAACUCCAUGUGAUCCUUUUCAUUUCUCUGGGUGUUCUAAACAGAUCGUAUUUAGAGAUGGAGCUAAUACACAGCAUGGCAAGUAUAGAUCAGAAUAUGCGUAAAAGGCAUCACAACUUGCACACACACCCCACACACAUACACUCACACGGAGUAUCAAAAACCCUUUAAUCUGACAGAUGUAAUAAAGCAAAAGUUCUCUGUUGAAUUUCCCCUAACAUCUAUUUAUGACCCACUUUUGUCUCAUGAAAAUGAUUUUUUUUGUCUAAAGGAUAUGGACAUCAUGAUGCAUCUAUGCUACUCUUUAACCUCCUGGAGCUGAGUAAAGGUCAUGAACAGUGCACUACUUAUUUCCUGAGUAGCCAAAUUGGUAUUACUUUCUCAAGUUGUUUAUGGGAAUAAGACAAGAUGAUGGCAAGAUUGGAUAAUUUCAUACGAAACAUGCAGUUUCCUUUCUCUCCCUCUCUGUUUGCCCAAUUCUGAAAGUCACUUAUUUAUGUUCACCCUAACAUUUGAGAAUUUGAGCAAUUAUUAGAUGCAGGAAGUAGACUAAUCAAAUGUAUGUGUUUAAAAGCAAAUAAACUUUAUUCCACCUUUGUAGAAGAUAAAGCUAAUGACUUCUAUGUGCAAAAGCCGUUUUUUCUUCUUUGCUUAUCAAAAACCAGAUGGACUUCCUGUUCUAUCAUUCUUUAAGUCUACCUAGAGUGGUCUUAAGGUGAAAUGCCUACAUAUUAAACCAUAAUCAAUCAUUGUACACACACAAAUUACUUUCUGUCCUCCCCUUUCCUUGUUAUCGUGGUCCAAAGCAGGUUUUUGAGACAGAGUACAUUUAUCUGAGCUGUUAGCUGCUUCACGCCACUGCAUCCUUGUGUAUGAUCUGCCUGGUCCCAGACCCCUGGAGAAAAUUUGUGCUUGCAUACUGUAUGUGAACUUUAGAUAAAUAAAUAAACACGCGAAACAGCUUCCAGAUAAUUGAAAGUGAAUGAAGGAGGGAGCAAAAAGAAAACAAUUUCUCUGGGGGUAAGCAGCUAAGGUGGCAGGUAUGAUUAAAAUCCAUAUGAUUUAUGGGUAGGUGGAUUACUAACAUGACAACCCUGUUAGUGUUUGUUUGUUUGGGAGCAUUUGACAAUAAAGUUUUCUUGUUGUUGUUGUGCUUGCUGUGGGUUUUGCUCCGGACUUAGCCACUCAGGAAUUCCUAGUGCCUGACUGAGCAGUCAUUUAGCAAGCUCUCUUGUGCUCUUUUCCUGUCAGCAUUAACAUGUCAAUUCAUUUUAAUAGUCUGGGCAUGCUCAGUGGGCAUGCAUUUUCUCAGUAGGUAUCCCAUGAGCCCACCCCGUGGUGCAGAAAUGUGUUAUAUCUUGUUUCAGACCUCAGAGACUUCAGCAGGUUUAUUUUCAUUAUGGCCAAGUGUAUUUGUUAAAACAAAGCCAAAAUAAUAUAUAAAAUCAAGACCCUAACAAAUGAAAUAGGUUAUGUAUAUUUGAUUGGUAAUUUAAGCUCUUUCAAAGAUUAGGUUGUACCAUAUUUCGUUACACAAAAUUAUUACCAUAGUGGAGCUUAAAAAAAUGUGUGCUGUUACUUCCUCUAGUUUUUGGAAGUUAAAUGAUAUUCUGUCACAAUGGGAGUUUUCUGUAA